AUUGAACGCUGGCGGCAUGCCUUACACAUGCAAGUCGAACGGCAGCACGGGUGCUUGCACCUGGUGGCGAGUGGCGAACGGGUGAGUAAUACAUCGGAACAUGUCCUGUAGUGGGGGAUAGCCCGGCGAAAGCCGGAUUAAUACCGCAUACGAUCUACGGAUGAAAGCGGGGGACCUUCGGGCCUCGCGCUAUAGGGUUGGCCGAUGGCUGAUUAGCUAGUUGGUGGGGUAAAGGCCUACCAAGGCGACGAUCAGUAGCUGGUCUGAGAGGACGACCAGCCACACUGGGACUGAGACACGGCCCAGACUCCCACGGGAGGCAGCAGUGGGGAAUUUUGGACAAUGGGCGAAAGCCUGAUCCAGCAAUGCCGCGUGUGUGAAGAAGGCCUUCGGGUUGGAAAGCACUUUUGUCCGGAAAGAAAUCCUUGGCCCUAAUACGGUCGGGGGAUGACGGUACCGGAAGAAUAAGCACCGGCUAACUACGUG
rnacentral:rRNA from 1 species